CAUGACAACAACUUUACCGGCCAACGAUUCUCCUUCGAUUUACCAGCAAUUCCACACAAUCAAAUUUUCCAUUAUCCGCAGAGGCAGGCAACAUGGAAAUUUUCACCAUCUUGAAUGGCAAUUGACAAAGCUAAUAAGUCCAUUUUUUUAAUCUUACAAUAGUAUGAAGAGAUAAUAUUACUUCAUAAAAUAAAAAAGGAAAAAAAAGGAAAAAAGGGAACAAAGAAAAGUUUAUUUUUCUUUAAAUUUCUCUCCAAAAGCUUUUUAUUCUUCUUCUUCUUCUUCUUCAUCCUCAUGGGCUGAUAAGAGAAAAGUGGUUUCUACAGUGAAGAUAGAGUCUCUCUCUUCCAUUUUCUUCACAGAAUUAUAGAAGAGAAAACCUCAUUCACCCUCAAAACCACUUUACUACCCUCAUCAUACCCUUUAUCCAAUUCUUCAUUGAACCCUAAACUUCUUCAAACUCCAAAUUUUACCCAGAAAAUUUUCAAGAAUGGACCUUGCUACCACUUUCCUCACGGGCAGAGCCAAUCUUCUUUGCCCACGUGUCCUCUCAAUACCGUCUAAUACUUCUCUGAAGAACAGCACUUGUACUACUGUUUUCAAUAACCCCAGAAGAAAAAACCUUAGAAUUUCAUCAAAGUUACAAGCCGUAGCUGUUGAAACUGCUGAAACAGAGGUAAAAGAUGAUAUAGAGUCAUUAUUUUCUAAUAAUUCAAAUGAGGAAAUUGAUUACAGGAGGAGUAACAGGCAAAAUACUAGUGGGGCUUCAAGUAUUUCAUCUGGGGUUAGGCUAGAAAAUGUUAGUAAAAGUUAUAAAGGUGUUACUGUAUUGAAAGAUGUGAGUUGGGAGGUAAAAAAAGGUGAAAAAGUAGGUUUAGUAGGUGUAAAUGGUGCAGGAAAAACAACCCAAUUGAGGAUUAUAUCUGGUUUAGAGGAACCUGAUUCAGGGAAUGUGAUUAAGGCAAAAAAUAAUAUGAAGAUUUCAUUUUUAAGCCAAGAAUUUGAGGUUGAGUCAACAAGAACUGUUAAAGAAGAGUUUAUGAGUGCAUUUAAAGAGGAAAUGGAAGUUGCUGAGAGACUUGAGAAAGUUCAGAAGGCAAUUGAGAAAUCUGUUGAUGAUUUGGAGUUGAUGGGGAGGCUUUUGGAUGAGUUUGAUUUGCUGCAAAGGAGAGCACAAGCUGUGGAUUUGGAUGUUGUGGAUGUGAAAAUUAAUAAAAUGAUGCCUGAGUUAGGAUUUGCUCCUGAGGAUGCUGAUAGGCUUGUGGCAUCAUUUAGCAGUGGCUGGCAAAUGAGGAUGUCUUUAGGGAAGAUCUUGCUGCAGGUAUGAGAUGUUGGAUUAUAUUUUCCUGAAUUUUUUUGUUUAAUGUGUCAUGUGUGGUUAAUUACUGUUGUAAUUCCUGUGGAUAUAAUACUUGACUUUAUGUUUUGUGCAUGUAUUUCUUGGAUGUGUAAUGCUUUAAUUUUUGGCUUUACUCUCAACACACCAACUAUGGUAAUAUAUUGGCGUUAAGUGUUAAUGAGUCAAAGAGAAGGAGAGCCGCGGUGCAACCGUAAAAGUUGCUGCCAAGUGACCAGGAGGUCAGGGGUUCAAGUAGCGGAAACAACCUCUUGCAGAAAUGCAAGAUAAGGCUGCAUACAUAAGACAUGAUGUGAUCCGGCUCUUUGCUGGAUCCCGCGCAUAGCGGGAGCUUAGUGCACAUGGUUGUCCUAUUAAUAAGUCAAAGAGCUUGUUAAGCCUCUAUCAGCCAAAAAGAUCUAAGUCUAGAUGUUGAGUAAUUUGCUUCCCAGUUUCGAACAUGACUACUAUGCUUCAAUUUCAAACAAGUUGGGACUGGCUAGAAUCCUCACUUACCAUGUUCCCCAUUUAAAUUAAUCUCAGGCCAAGAUUAUAUCAAAUAAAAAUAAAGUGAAAAGUACUAGAGAUUUCUAUUUUUUUAAUGGCAUAAGAGUCUAAUAAGGCUAAAGUAAUUUGCCUUCUAAGAAGGAUCCGACAGAAGUAUGUUGCUCGAAGUCGGAUCCUCCAAAAGUAAUGCAUUUUUUGAGGAUCCGACAUGGGUGUUGCGAAAAUUCUAGAGGAUCUGAGCAACAUAGCUUCAAACAACAUAUUAGUCCACUUAUCCCAUGAUAUAUAUCUUUGGUUGAUGGGUCUUAGACUUGGCAAACAUUAUGUGUAAUUAUUAUUUUUGCUUGGGGAGUAACAUAUUUGAUUUUUGCAGGACCCAGACUUGUUACUACUGGAUGAACCGACCAAUCAUCUUGACCUUGAUACGAUUGAGUGGCUUGAGGGUUAUCUUAAUAAGCAAGAAGUUCCUAUGGUCAUUAUAUCUCAUGAUCGAGCUUUCCUUGACCAGUUGUGUACAAAAAUUGUGGAGACCGAUAUGGGUGUAUCUAGGACAUAUGAAGGAAAUUACUCGGAUUUUAUUAUUUCAAGGGCUGAAUGGAUUGAAACACAGAAUGCUGCAUGGGAAAAACAACAGAAGGAAAUUGAGCAAACGAGAGGUUUGAUAAGUAGGUUAAGUGCCGGAGCAAACUCAGGUCGUGCAUCUACUGCUGAAAAGGUAACUAAAGAUGUCUCCAUUAUUGAACUGUAACUGCAAUAUGUUUACUUUCCACAGGAAUGCACUCUUUUGUGUGUGUGUGUGUCUGUAUUAUGCAUACUUGUUAAAGGUAUGUUGUACCUUUUAUUUCAGACUUUGAUUACUGAUGUCAUCCUUGUGUUUUUUGGUGAUAACAGAAGCUGGAAAAACUUCAGGACCAGGAACAAGUUGAUAAGCCAUUCAUUAGGAAACAAAUGAAGAUUAGGUUCCCUGAACGUGAAAGAAGUGGAAGAACAGUUGUAAAUGUUAAAAAUCUGGAAUUUGCCUAUGAGGAUAAGGUAACAUAAAACAUUGACAGUGAGAUUUUAAUUUAUUUCUUGUUUUGGGGACAUGUUGAUGACAAUUAGUUAGCGUUAUCUAAUUGGGUUGGCUGUUGAUGAUAUUACUGGGUUGGCUGUUAUCUUACAUUUCAUUUUUACUGGCAGGUCCUUUUCAAGAAUGCAAAUUUGACAAUUGAGAGAGGAGAGAAAAUUGCUAUCAUUGGUCCUAAUGGUUGUGGAAAGAGCACUUUUCUUAAACUGAUUAUGGGUUCACUGAAACCAACACGAGGUGAAGUUGUGCUUGGGGAGCACAAUGUACUACCAAAUU
rnacentral:lncRNA from 1 species